rnacentral:rRNA from 1 species
AGCGAACGCUGGCGGCAGGCCUAACACAUGCAAGUCGAACGGUAACAGGUCUUCGGAUGCUGACGAGUGGCGAACGGGUGAGUAAUACAUCGGAACGUGCCCGAUCGUGGGGGAUAACGGAGCGAAAGCUUUGCUAAUACCGCAUAAGAUCUACGGAUGAAAGCAGGGGACCGCAAGGCCUUGCGCGAACGGAGCGGCCGAUGGCAGAUUAGGUAGUUGGUGGGAUAAAAGCUUACCAAGCCGACGAUCUGUAGCUGGUCUGAGAGGACGACCAGCCACACUGGGACUGAGACACGGCCCAGACUCCUACGGGAGGCAGCAGUGGGGAAUUUUGGACAAUGGGCGCAAGCCUGAUCCAGCCAUGCCGCGUGCAGGAUGAAGGCCUUCGGGUUGUAAACUGCUUUUGUACGGAACGAAAAGACUCUUUCUAAUAAAGAGGGUCCAUGACGGUACCGUAAGAAUAAGCACCGGCUAACUACGUGCCAGCCGCCGCAGUAAUAC